AGGAGACGAGGCAGUCGGACCAGCAGGGUUGUUGCCAGAGCGGGGCGACCCAGUUGACAGGAAAGGGCCCUGGCCUGGUGGGCGAGGUGGAAGGAGGGGGCCGAUCGGGGAACCCAGUUAAAGGGCGAAACGGAGCCGGCACGCUGGAAGGGGCCGCAGCGGCCCGGCUGAGGAGUUUUGGAGGCGAGGGAGAGAAAGCGAGCGUGCAAGAGCGCGCGCCCUUCUUCCCCGCCGUCGGGGGAAGCGAGCCGAAGGUUGCAAAACUUGCAGGGAAUCCUUCCUUCCUUCCGUGGCAAGGCCGCUCUUCUUCUCUAGGAGGCCCGCGCAGCCGCCUCGCUGCGACUCCUUCCCCCACCACCACCCCGGCGCAUUGCCAGGCCGAUUCCCUCCUGCUGCUCCGACCACGCAGGAUUAAGGCCUGGAAAGCGGAGGUGCGGUAGCUCUUUUGGCCUGUUCCUUAAGCAGCUCUUGCCUCUAGCUCCUCCUAAAUGCCACUCGAGAAACAGGAAUUAAGGAAGGCUAUCCGAACAGGAAGGUCUUUGCCUGCCAGUAUAUGGACAAGAAGAUCGGAGACAACCUGGCAUAGUGAAUAUUCAAGAGUCUUGGACCAGCCGCUGGAAAGGCCCUCACUCAUGUCCUCUGGUGAUACCACAGACCAUCACAAACAGGCUGCAGACAGCUCUCCCUUCUUUUGGAAAAGGCCAGCCAGAAAACCUGAGACAACCAGAGAAAAUUGGGACCAUAGCUGAAGGAAAAGUGGAUUGGCAAAGUUUCCUCAAGUUCUGGACACUUGAUGAAAACAGUUCUGCUCCUGCCCCCCAAUGCCAAACUGCAAAAUAAGAACUUUUACCAUUCUGGCUGCUCUCAUCUGGACAUGUGGGAAAUGAGGAAAACCAGUGACCCUGACUGUGUUGUGGGCAGGCCAAAUUGUCCAGACCAUCUGUUCCUUUGGAAGACCUUUCAAGAACUAACGAGAGUGGGUCUUCCGUAUUGGCUGAACAUAACUAAAUGAAUCAAGUUAUGUGAUUGUUCUGAAUAACAGUGAAACGACUGCAUCAACUUCUGAAGCAAACCUGCAGGUCUACACAGUGCCUGUCAUACUGCACAACACCUCAGGGGCUUGGAUGGAAUGGCAAAAAAAUAAAAUAAAAAUACCAUAUUUCUUUUUUUUGUAGAAAAAAAAAUU